AGCUCAUUUUGAGGAGUUUCUCUCUUCGAUUGAAAGAUCAACCUGAAAAUGUGUAUUAUUGAAGUUGAAAUCACGUUCGAGGUUAGAAGUGAUUGUGACAUAGGUAGAGGUUCUUGACUGAAACACCUCGAUCAAAUGUUAGCGUGGAACAGUGGUCAUCGUUACGUUCCUACACAAGUCCUCUAAAAGGGGAAUUAAUCAAAUACAAACCACGAUUAUAUUAUGAAUAUAUAAAUAUAUAAAUGUUUAAUUCAGUUCAAUGAAACAACAUUACACUUGGUUGAAAUGGCUACCUUGGACAAAAGUAAUCAAAGAAUGCAACCAACGUAUUAAAGUCUCAAGAAAAUAGAUUCAAAAUACUGAAAACAGUUCAUGUUUUCUAUUUGAUGAACAGUCGUUAUUUAAAAAACGCUUUCAAUUUUCUCAGAUUAACAAGGUUGGAGGCUGCUUACCAUAGCCAUACUAUGGCUGUGUUUACACAGCCACCUUAAGAACCCAAAUCUAAUUUUAGUUCUAUAUCUGAUCUUUUUGUCUACACUCAGUUUUACAUGUGACCCAUAUCAGAUUUGCCCAUUCACACCAGAGAUCUGUAUAUAACGCUCAUGUCUCCGUCAUAACAAUGGGAGGCGUUGUCCCAAAGGCGGGAAGGCAGGCGACAACCUUAAGUCCAAAAUAAGCCCAUAGAAACGCUUUGGGCUUAUUUUGGACAGAUUUUGGCAAGAGUGAAACCUCUCAUUUUGCCUCUUCCUCUCUGCUCACACUGAUGUAGCCUCUGAAGUAGCACACAGAUGCAAUUCUCAUUUCCUGUCACUGCUCCUUUAAAUUUUGGGGUGGUUGUCAUGGUCAUGGCAAAUCAUGGUAAAAAAAACAAAAAACCUUUCAGAGCAAAAUCUGAUCUGAGCAUCCAGACAGAGGUCACAUAUGGAGGAUUGGGUUUGUAUCAGGAUUCAGCUCCACAUAUGGAGGUGGUAUAAAUCGGAAGUCAACAGAUCUGAUUCCAUGUGGUCUUUUGCUGUUUACGCGUUAGGGAAGAACAGAUAGGUAUCAGAUAUGCAAAUAAUUGCCAAAAGAUCUGAAUUGGGCUGCUUCUGUAAACGCAGCAUAAAGGCGUCCAAUUAUGAAUAAAUCUCUAUACUACACAUAGGGGCAUUUGCUUGUUUAACCAAAAUAUGACUAUUUACACAUUAAUUUGUCAAGCAGUACUACAAGCAGUAAGCUAGUGAUAGAGAGCGUCCAAAAUGGCACCCUAUUCCCUAUAUAGUGGCACAACUUUGGACCAGGGCACAUAGGGGUCUGGUCGAAAGUAGUACACUAUAUAGGGAAUAAGGUGCCUUUUUGGGACGGAGCCAUACACAACUGUGAACUAGUGGGUUCCCUUAAGCUAUUCAGUUGAGAUAAAGCCAAUCGAUAUUGGGUAACCACAAAAAAAUGAAUUUACCUUAACCUGUUCCCCCACAGCUGGUUAUUGAGCACAAGAUGAGUUUCAUAAGAAUUUCAAAAAGAUGAAAUGUGGACCUUCGAGUCAGCCAUAGAGUAUAUCAUUUGAAUGAUGUGUUCUGAAUAGAGCUGUGUGUCUGCACUCCGAACCAGACUAGGGCUUAUCUGGAAAGAGGGGUCUAACAUAGCCCAAGGCAGGAAGAAAUGGAACGGACCUUGUGGAGGCCUUGGUGCGAUGAGGCCGAAACAACUUCUGCACUCACACAGAGAACUCCUACAAGUAAGAAUACAAGUUAAAGUAUACAUUUAGGCUUCCUCGCAGAGGAAUUGGCUGUUAUGACCUGUUACCUCAUUGCAUGGUGAAGUUGUUUAUUCUUUUUCCUAAGGAAAAGGUAUCGACAAUAUGUUAGCAUUCUAUUUGAGAUACUGUAGAUUAUAUAGACGAAUACUGUACUUGCAUGACAGGUCGAGGCCGAGUGAUUCACACGCACGGUUGGAUGUUUUGACUUACUAUUACAUACUGGGCAUAUACGUUUUCAGAUAACAGAAUAUAUCUAUUCAUUAUUUUUGGUUGACGUGGUGUUUUUUUCCAAGUUAAGGCAUGUUUAUGUUGGAAGAUAAAUUGUUUUGUGUAUUAUCAACCUGAAUCAAUUCAUUAUUCACAACCAAAUAACAUCUUGAGAUCAUUUAAAAAGCUUUUUUUUAUAUAUUCCUAACACCUAUUAAGGGCUAGAUUGAAUCCGUAUCAUGGAAGAUCAGCAUUAUAGCGCGAUUGAAAUUGAAAGGGCAUUUCUUAUUGAGCCAACAUAUGCAGUGUUUACCGUGAAUUUGCGAACGCAGAAACAUUGCCUUUAAAUUUCAAUUGAGCUAGUGCGGAUCUACCUCUAUAAGGAUAGGCCUAAGUGUACAAUUUAUCACCCUUAUACAAAGCACACAUACGGUAUAGUAGGAAUAUUCAAAUAAAGCUGCAAAAAGCAGUGUACCCCCAUUUUGAAAGUUUUAAUACUAUUCAUUCCUAGCUAGGAAAACAGUUCCCUGAGUAAAUAUACUUCAUAUAUUCUAUAACUUCCAAACUAUUUAUGCCUGAGGGAGAAAAAACAUAAUCUCACGUCAAUAUUCAGAGUAUACCAUUAUUUUGUUUGAGAUGAUUUCUCCUUGACUGACAUAAUAAAAUAUGCUGAC
rnacentral:lncRNA from 1 species